GAUGAGACAAUUCGUGAUGGAAGUGACGAAAGCACGGCCAACUCAAUUGCGAUAGAAAAAGUGCUCGGAAAAAGCAAAGGGCUUGGAAUUAAGAUUGCAACCACCACAAAGAGUUCAAAGUCGAGAUUUUCUUCAAUUCCGCCGGAAGUGCAAAUGGAAAUGAAUUCAAUGAAAGAGCAAAUGCAACUUAAAGAUGAAAAAAUGGAAAGAUUGGAAGCGGAAUUGAAAGAAACCCGAGAAAUUGUGAACACCUUAGUCGGUCGUUUUGGACUACAAGCCUCGACAUCGACUCCUUCCAAUGAUGGUGGAGUAUAAAAAGGGAUGAAUUUUGUUUGGUUUUUGAAUUAAAGUUUGAAACACUACAUUAUAUGCUUUUAAGUUUUUAUGUACUUUUUUAAUUUAUGUUUUGUGCUACCUUGA
rnacentral:lncRNA from 1 species